GAAUUGACGGGGCCGCACAAGCAGCGGAGCGUGUGGUUUAAUUCGUUGCUACACGAAGAACCUUACCUGGGUUUGACAUAUAGGUUGUAGGGAACUGAAAGGGACCGACCCUUCGGGGAGCCUAUACAGGUGUUGCAUGGCUGUCGUCAGCUCGUGUCGUGAGAUGUUCGGUUAAGUCCGCUAACGAGCGCAACCCUCGUCGUAUGUUAUAUGUGUCAUACGAGACUGCCGGUAAAAAGCCGGAGGAAGGUGAGGAUGAUGUCAAGUCAGCAUGACCUUUAUAUCCAGGGCUACACACACGCUACAAUGGUCUGUACAAUGGGUAGCCAAGCCGCGAGGCGGAGCCAAUCCUGAAAGCAGGCCUCAGUUCAGAUUGCAGUCUGCAACUCGACUGCAUGAAGCCGGAGUUGCUAGUAACCGCAGGCCAGCAAUACUGCGGUGAAUACGUUCCCGGGUCUU
rnacentral:rRNA from 1 species